rnacentral:snRNA from 1 species
AGCUUUGCACAGAGGCGGUACUAUAGCCAAUAAGGUGAAACCGAGGCGUGGUUAUAGCUUGUUGAAAACUAUUUAUUUAUAUAUUUAUUUAAUAUUUAUCUACUUAUAUAGG